rnacentral:RNase_P_RNA from 1 species
GGAGUCGGCCGGACAGUCGCUGCCUCGGCAACGAGGUGGAGGAAAGUCCGGGCUCCACAGGGCAGGGUGCCAGGUAACGCCUGGGGGACGCAAGUCUACGGAAAGUGCCGCAGAAAAGAUACCGCCUAAGCGCCUUUGGCGCCGGUAAGGGUGAAAUGGUGCGGUAAGAGCGCACCGCGCUGACGGUAACGCCAGUGGCAGGGUAAACCCCACCCGGAGCAAGACCAAAUAGGGGAGCAUUGGUGUGGCCCGCAUCGCUCCCGGGUAGGUUGCUUGAGGUGCACGGUGACGUGCAUCCCAGAUGAAUGGCUGUCCUCGACAGAACCCGGCUUACAGGCCGGCUCCCCCU